CCACGGGAGGAAGCAGUGAGGGAUAUUGGUCAAUGGGGGAAACCCUGAACCAGCAACGCCGCGUGAGGGAAGACGGUUUUCGGAUUGUAAACCUCUGUCCUCUGUGAAGAUAAUGACGGUAGCAGAGGAGGAAGCUCCGGCUAACGACGUGCCAGCAGCCGCGGUAAUACGUAGGGAGCGAGGGGUGUCCGGAUUUACUGGGGGUAAAGGGUGCGUAGGGGGGUAAGCAAGUGAGAAGUGAAAUCCAUGGGCCUAACCCGUGAACGUCUUUUGAAAUUGUUUAUCUUGAGUGAAGUAGAGGUAGGCGGAAUUCCCGGUGUAGCGGUGAAAUGCGUAGAGAUCGGGAGGAACACCAGUGGCGAAGGCGGCCUCUGGGCUUUAACUGACGCUGAAGCACGAAAGCGUGGGUAGCAAACAGGAUUAGAUACCCCAGUAGUC
rnacentral:rRNA from 1 species